rnacentral:rRNA from 1 species
CCUACGGGAGGCAGCAGUGGGGAAUAUUGCGCAAUGGGCGAAAGCCUGACGCAGCGACGCCGCGUGAGGGAUGAAGGUCUUCGGAUCGUAAACCUCUGUCAGCAGGGAAGAACGGUCACUGUGCUAAUCAGCAGUGAAUUGACGGUACCUGCAAAGGAAGCACCGGCUAACUCCGAGCCAGCAGCCGCGGCAAUACGGAGGGUGCGAGCGUUAAUCGGAAUUACUGGGCGUAAAGCGCUCGUAGGCGGUAUGUCAAGUCAAGGGUGAAAUCCCCGCGCUCAACGUGGGAACUGCCUUUGAAACUGGCAAACUGGAGUGUGUGAGAGGAUAGUGGAAUUCCAGGUGUAGGAGUGAAAUGCGUAGAUAUCUGGAGGAACAUCAGUGGCGAAGGCGACUAUCUGGCACAUAACUGACGCUGAGGAGCGAAGGCGUGGGUAGCAAACAGGAUUAGAUACCCUAGUAGUC